UUUUACAUUAUAGUGAGAAUUAAAGUAUUAGUAAUUUAUUUUUGUUACUAAAAUUAAAUUCAGUUUGUUCCUGCAUAAAUCUUUUUAGUACUAAACUGCUUUGGAAUGAAUUUUUCUGGGGAACAACAGCAGGAUUAGAGCCAUCCUCUAGAUGCCAUCAGGUAGGUGCGCUAGCGUAGUCGUUUGUUGUAGCAUUAUAUCCCUUUUCCCCCUUUUUAAAAAAUGUUUGUAAGACGCCUGAAAUUUGUAUAAGUUAGUUAUAUAAGUAGUUGAAUAAGAAUUGGUGAGACAUGGAAAAUAGAAGAGGACAGAGAAGAUGGAAGAGGAUUGCUUUGAAAUAGAAGGAAAGGAGAUAGAUGUUUGAGGAAAGGAGGAGGACUUUGUUCGCUGUAACGGAAGUUUUUUGAAUGAAAUUUGGAGCAACUGUAUUAAGAUGUUAUUGGUAUCUUGGACGUCAAGUUUCAUUUAUUUAUGUAUUAUACAAGCAUAUCUAUUGGGGUAAAUGUAGAAUGGCAGCUGUUAUAACAACUUGGAUGAAUUAUUAGAAACACCAAAGAAGUUUUGACAUAAUUUAAACUGGGAAAAGGCUCACAGAUGACCAAUUUAUUCUACAGUAGAUACAGGACAUUAAAUUGACUUCAGCAACGCAGAUAUCUCUCAAAAAUGAUAUCUGUUCGAAUGAUGUACUGGGCGUUAACAGUUGCUGUUACAAAUCUGCAAAUGAGUUACUACUGUACAUAAGUUGGAGGAAUGCCAAGGAAUUUUUUGAAUAAAAUGAUACUGAAAAUCUUACCCACCCAUGACAAUUUUAAGAUACAAUCAAUAGUAUUUGGAUUGAUUGGCCUUCAUUACUGUUGCGCUGUGAAAAUGUAAGCAAUACAAAUUGGUAUUAAUGGACGUUUUGACAGCUGUUUCCAGUCCAAGUUCCAGUUUUAAUGGAAAAUCUUUAAUGGACACAGAAAAAUGCCAUUUACUGGAUUGACUUCAACACCUGUUGCUUUUUAAUAAUGGUAAACAAUGGGACAAUUGCUGUUAGAAGUCAACAAGUAGUACUAAUUGCAAAUAAUAUAUUAUGGCGGACAUCAAAAAGCUUUAAAUGGAAUGAAACUUGCAGAAGAAGACUCAGAAAGUCCAUUUAGAACUGUACUUAAUAGCGGUUAGAGUGGAUGCAGUCCUUCAUCAAUGAGAGCUGAAGAAAUUGAUGGUAAAGGACAUUUUGACAGCUACUGUUACAACUCAACGAACAAGUUGCAGCUUUGAAGGAAAAUAUUUGAUUGGAUACAGAACAAUGUCAGUCAUUUCAGGAUGUAAAGUUAAUAGAACCAGGGUUGGGCUCGACAUCUCUUACCUUUUAAUAAUGGCAUACGAUAGGACAAUUGCUAUUAGAAACCGAUAAGACAUACUAGCUGCAAAUAAUAUGUAUGGUGGUCAUAAAAGAGAUUUAAAUGAAAUGAGAGAGAGAAACUCUUGUGCAGAAGAAAUCAAGGAAAACCAUUUUGAACUGCUGUUACUUAAUAGAUUGUUAAUAGCUGUUAGAGGGGGUCCAGUUCUUCAUCAAUGGUUUACGCUGGGACAAUUGCUGUUGGAAAUCCACAAGCCGUACUAUCUGCAAAUAUUAUGGUGGACAUAAAAAAUGUUUAAAAUGGAAUGAAACUUACAGGAAAAGACUCAGAAAGACCAUUUAGGACUGUACUUAAUAGCUGUUGAAAAGUGGUCGCAGUCCUUUAUCAAUGAUAUCUCUGCAUUUUCUUAACAAUGGAUAUCAGCAGUUGCUCCUACUCCUCACUUUCCUCUUUCACUCAUCACAAAAACUCAAUACUCCUCAAUGCCUCACCAAGGUUCGUUAGCUUCAUUAAUAGUGUUAUUGUUUCAAUAAAUUUGUUUAGUGGUUUUUAUCCUCUUACUAUAUAAUUAUCUCUGGCGUCAUUUUAAUGUUAAUUUUUUGUAAAAUUUUGAUAAUCUGGAUAGAAACCUUUUUUUUUCUUAAGCUUUUGCAAUGUAAAACACUAGUUCAGAGCAAUACACUUUAUUUUAUGAAUAGGACCAUUAGGCCUGAUGAAUAAAGAGAAGCAAUUGCUUUUUCUAUAGAGCUAUAGAACUUUUUCAAUCUCGCCUAUCUUAUAUUUACUUCCAUUAGUUCAGUCAUUAAAUUAUUAUUAAAUAACUAUAAUUUGUAUUCUGGAUUUCGUCAAAGGUAUUUUUUAAAAGAAUUAAAAAGCAAUCUAUAGGCUACAGUAUCAUUUCCAAUUUAUUUUUAUCUUGUAUUAUUUAUAUUUUCCUAAGCUUCUCUAAGUUUAUUCCAGAUUAUCAAAAUUAUAAUUUUUAUACUUGCGCAGCUGCGUCACUAUUAUAGCCCUAUGAACACAAGUAUUAUUUUGGUUUUAAAGUUUAUGUUUUUUAAUAUUUCAUUUAUUGUAUUAACGCAAAACUAAAUUUUAUAGAAUUUAACUAACUAUAUCUUCAACCGGAUGAUAAUUUAAUGGUUAAUGGUCAAUUUAAUAUUUUUUCAUAAAAAUUAAAUGUGAUUAUUGAAUACUAAUGUCAAGACAGUAGAUAUGAUUUAUUAGUGUUUAUUUUUUCGGAAAUAUUUUUUUUUACUAAAUCAAUUUUGGACACUUGUGUUCAUAUAGUUUUUUUUUGCUUUUGAUAAUUAAUAUUGGUACCCUAACACCGAUGUUUUAAAUCAAUUUAUAUGAUUUAAAAACAUUUAUGUUUAUAUCUAUUUUGUCUUAAAUUUUAGUGAUAAAGUUUGUUUUUUGAGCACAAAGAGCAAUGCACUUCAUGCAUUGCUUUCUUUUUUAUGUGCAGAAUCAUCUUUAUAUACAGUCUGUCCUCAGAACGUCUUUACAAGAGCAAAAACUUUUUUUAUUAAUAUUUUCAUAAAAGAUACAUUCCUUAUAAAAAUAUUUUUCUUUUUAAUAUUUUCAUUUCAAUUUUUUUAACAAAUAUAUUGUGAGCACACAUUUUGAAAUUAUUUUUCGUAGAUAUACUGUGCGAUUCAAGUAUAUUUAUACUAAAAUUGUGUUUUUUUAAAUGCAAUGUUUUUUUAUGUAUGUACUAGUUAGUAUACCACUGUAAUCCAAUCAAAAUUGCAUAAAUUAAUUAUUUUAGAAGAGUUCAAUUGAAAAUAAAUACAUGAAUUUUAACCUUAAGUAUUACUGGUUGCCUAAUCGAUUCUUAUGUAAUGUUGUGGUAAUGUUCUUAUUAUUUAAAAAAGUCUUAUUUCCAGUAGUAUUUUUUCUCUCAAUUUUAGUAUUUAAAAUGUCUCUAUCUUGUCAUAUUUAUUUAACAUAUCUAUUAGACCUCUACUCAAACUUUAUCUCCUAAAAUUUAUGAAUUUUACAUAUGA
rnacentral:lncRNA from 1 species